AUUUUUUUUUUGUUAGUAUGUUUUCAUCUUAGAAUUUUCUUUGCUGUAACUCUUUUCUUAUCCAGAAAUGUUCUUAGUCUCUGAUUAUCCCAUGAACGACUGGUGUUCUUUCCUGCCAUUCAGAUCUUACCUUAAAUUGUCACUUCUACCAAGAAGCUUUCCUGACAACACAAUCUAAAGAAUCUGUUUCGGACUUCCUCCAUAACAUCUCUAAUUUUCAGCAUGGGAUCCAUCUGACAUUUCUUCCCUCUUUCCAUUCUUUCUUCACUUCCUCCUUUCUGCCCACCUUUCCUGAUAGAUUUCAAGUUCCAUGAGAGUUAGAACCUUGACUGUCUGAUGUCCUAUGGUAGCUUCAGCACAGAGGAGAGUAAGUGAUUCUUAAUAUUCCUCAGUAAAUAUUUUAAUUAAAUUAUAAAUAGAUGGAUAUUUGCUGCAUUAACAAUUACUUCUUAAAUGUGCUUGUUUUGUUGCCGAGCUUUUAACUUUUUUUUUGUUUGUUUGUUUUUUGCACUGUAUCAAAGAGGAGCCAUUGAAGAAUACUGUUGUCCUAUCCCAGAAGGAGCAAGCGGACAACACUGAUAUCCUGACCACUAACCAUCCAGCACCACUUAAAGAGGUCCCAAAACCCCCGGCUGUCUACCAAUACCCAUCUGUGACCUCUUAGGAACCGAGCUUCACAGCAGGAGGUGAAUGGUGGACAAGCGAGCAUUAUCGCCUCAGCUCCACCUCCUGUCAGUUUUAAAAAGAAUAACAGAAAGAAAGAAGUGGCUGAAACCUAAAUGCCAUAUGGAGAAGACAGCUAAUUGCCACACUCUCCUCUUUGGUCUUUCCUGGUACGCAGCAUACAAGCCCACAGAUUGAGGACUCUGCACUUGCUGUUCUCUCUGCCUGGAGCUCUAUGGCUCCAGAUAGACUCCUGCCAACUCCUUCGCCUUGUCCAAGUUACCUUCAUUAAAUGUCAGCUUAAAUGUGUGCCUACUUUUUGCCCUACCUAGAAUUGCAAGCACCUCUCACCACUGUGCUCCCAUUCUCCUUAACUUAAGCCACUUUUAUUCUCAUAAUAAAGCCACAUAUUUUUUCUUAUUAUAUCAUAAUCGUACUGUAUAAUUUAUAUUUUAUUACUUUUGUUUGUAUACUUAUUGUAUGUUUCUGUUCACAAGGAUGUAAACCCCAUGAACACAGAGAUCUUUGAUUGUUUUAUUCACUGAUUUAUGCCAAAUGUUUGGAACAAUGCCUGGCACAUAGUAGAUGUUUGAUAAUUUUUUUUUUUUCUGAAUGAAUAAAUACAUUUUAGCCAAAUAUGCUGACUCUGCUUGUUUGGUUAUAUUUAUGUGUGUGUGAAUGUAUGUGCAGAAAAAGAAGAAAUUAGUUAAUACCAAAUCUAUAAAAUGGGAAAAAUAAUGCUUACCUUAUAGUGUUGUUAUGAAACUCAACUAAUAUAAGAUAUGUGAAGGGUCUAGCAUAAAAUGUGGAGCAUAAUAAGCAUUCAAUAAAUGGCAUUCUGUUUUAUUAACCAUCUGGUUGCCUAUUGUUGAAGGUCGGCUCUUUAAUGUGCAAAUUAAGGUGUUUUAUUUCCUUCAUAUAUCAAUUAUAGUCUGUUUAUUUACUUCUAGAUAAAAUCCUUUGAUGGACAUUUAAGCUGUGCCAACUAUUUACUAAUAAAAAUAUUUACAUUCUG
rnacentral:lncRNA from 1 species